rnacentral:rRNA from 1 species
GUGAGGAAUAUUGGUCAAUGGGCGAGAGCCUGAACCAGCCAAGUCGCGUGAAGGAUGAAGGUUUUAUGAAUUGUAAACUUCUUUUGCAGGGGAAUAAAGUACGGUACGUGUACCGUUUUGUAUGUACUCUGCGAAUAAGGAUCGGCUAACUCCGUGCCAGCAGCCGCGGUAAUACGGAGGAUCCAAGCGUUAUCCGGAUUUAUUGGGUUUAAAGGGUGCGCAGGCGGGUUGAUAAGUCAGCGGUGAAAGUUUGCAGCUUAACUGUAAAAUUGCCGUUGAAACUGUCGGACUUGAGUGUAAAUGAGGUAGGCGGAAUGCGUGGUGUAGCGGUGAAAUGCAUAGAUAUCACGCAGAACUCCGAUUGCGAAGGCAGCUUACUAAGCUACAACUGACACUGAAGCACGAAAGCGUGGGGAUCAAACAGGAUUAGAUACCCGUGUAGUCC